UACAGAGGUCUCAAGCGUUGUUCGGAUUCAUUGGGCGUAAAGGGUGUGUAGGUGGCGCCGUAAGUCGGGUGUGAAAUUUCGGAGCUUAACUCCGAAACUGCAUUCGAUACUGCCGUGCUUGAGGACUGGAGAGGAGACUGGAAUUUACGGUGUAGCGGUGAAAAUGCGUAGAUAUCGUAAGGAAGACCAGUGGCGAAGGCGGGUCUCUGGACAGUUCCUGACGCUGAGGCACGAAGGUCAGGGGAGCAAACGGG
rnacentral:rRNA from 1 species